GUGGUUGUGGCUCAGUGGUAGAGUGCUUGCCCAGUAUGCAUGAGGCACUGGGUUCAAUCCCUGGCACCACA
rnacentral:tRNA from 1 species